AUAACGUUGACUGAAUAGGUGUUUGCUGACAGACAUUGACCUGCAGCCUAAAUAAUCACAUGAAGGAGAAGAAAACCUCCAGGAGUAGUCAGCAUGGCAAGUCGCACCUGUCCGAACAGAUAAGCUUCUAUAAGGAAUUCACCAGCCUGAUGGAUGAAGGAGGAGCAGAGGACAUUGUCUUCCCAGUCUUCCUUAAGGCCUUUGACACCGAUCCCCAUAAGGUCCUAGGGCUGAGGAGUCAUGAUGGACAUCAAGAUGAACUUGAGGCAGCAAUGUGCUGUUGAUACUAAGAAGGCUCAUGGUAUUCUUGGCUGAAUUAAGAGCAUGGAUUGAAGUCAGGUACCCCUUCUCCCCCUUGAGAAAGGAGCCAACAGAAGAAUCAAGAGAAAUGAAAGAGUAAAAGAGGUGGCUGCAAGUGAUACAAUGAGUACCAUAGAGACGACUGCAAAGCUGCUUGGAGUCCUGCUCAACACUCUAUCAAAACCUGUGCAACUCUGUCCACUCUGGGGGAGCUUAGCAAAUGGAAAUGACCACGUGUUUUUAACCAAUAAUCUACAAUAAUCACCAAUAAUCUACACAAAUAAAACUAUUAUUAUUAUUAUUAUUAUUAUUAUUAUUAUUAUUAUUAUUACAAAAAGGGAAACAAGCAAGUGAAGAAGGGGGAAAAAUAAAAUGUAUAAAGCGAGCUUCCACUUAGAGGUUUCAACCUAUGGGUUACAACCUAUGGCUUAAAGAGUUUUUAAUGGGUUGUUUCUUUGUCCUCACAGAACUCAGCGUGUCUAGAAACACAUUUUUUUGCAGCAG
rnacentral:lncRNA from 1 species